rnacentral:rRNA from 1 species
GACGAACGCUGGCGGCGUGCCUAACACAUGCAAGUCGAGCGGGAAACAAGAGACUGAUCCCUUCGGGGUGAAGUCUUUUGUGGAGAGCGGCGGACGGGUGAGUAACGCGUGAGUAACCUGCCUGUAAGAGGGGGAUAACACAGAGAAAUCUGUGCUAAUACCGCAUAUUGAAGUUUUUCCGCAUGGGGAAGCUUUGAAAGAUUUAUCGCUUACAGAUGGACUCGCGUCUGAUUAGAUAGUAGGCGGGGUAACGGCCCACCUAGUCGACGAUCAGUAGCCGAACUGAGAGGUUGAUCGGCCACAUUGGGACUGAGACACGGCCCAG